GAGCAUCUCCAGGGUGUAUGGCUGGUGGGCGAGGAUCAUCGCGCCGGCCGAGGCCGCCGGUGGCGCCGCCGCCGGCGGCGCAGCGGCCCGGCUGGCGGCGCCGCGUCCCACGGGCACGUCGUGGUUGUGCUUGCCCUCGUAGGUGGUGAUGACGGCGCGGUUGUCGUGGGAGGCGCGCUCGACGUGCUUCCGCACGGGGCACCCCGGCGUGGUGCACUUGUAGUAGCUCCGCGGGUUGGGGUUCCCCUUCACCACCUUCUGCCCGUACUUGCGCCACCGGAACCCGUCGUCCAGGAUGUCGAUGUCGCUCAGCGUCUGCACCACCAGUCGGGGCUCGCGCACCGGCUUCCCGCCGCUGCCGGAGCUGCCCUCGUUCUCGCCGUCCUCCGCCUUCCAGCGCUUGGCGUCGGGCUCGUCGGCGUCGCUCCGGUGCGACCCGUUAUCGGCCUCGUCGUCGCCGAACGUCACCGACGAGUUCUCGGGCGUCGCGCCGGAGAGGGCCUGGUCCUCCGCCGCCGCCGCACCGGAGGAGUUGCGGCGCGUCGAGAGCGGCUUCGGGUGGUUGUGCGCGCCCUUGUACACGAUCUGCGUGAUGCGGCCGUCGGCCAGGGACCGCUCCACCUUCUUCUUCAUGGAGCAGCUGUUGUAGGUGCACUUGUAGUAGCUCCGCGGGUUCUCGCUCCCCUUCACCUGCUUCUGCCCGUACUUGCGCCAGUUGUAGCCGUCCUCGAGCUUGGUGUUGCUGUUGCCACCGCAGUUGUUGCCGCCGCUGCUGGCCUUGUUGCUCGCGGCGACGACGAUCUGCUUGUUCAUGGCUUCCACUUGCUGAUCCUGCACGAUCGCACAUACAUGAUGAGACUACGAGCUUGUGCUAACUGAUUAUGAAUGAAUCGAUUAUUAACGAUCUGCGUGUGUGUGUUUACAAUUUCGUACGUACCUUGAACGAUGGGAAGGAAGCUGUCUGCGUGGGCAUGGCGUUGGAGCCUGCCGUGUGGAAGGAGAAGUCGUUGAAGCCGCCCGGCGCCCGGGUCUCGUCCUGCUGGGACUGGGAGGCGAUCAGCUCGGCGGCCUGCUUCCAGUCGAACCUCUGCGCGGGGAUGGCGCCGGUGGUCGGGGACGCCAGGAGGUUGGAGCACGAGUUGAGGAGGACGGGCGAGUCGAGCAGCUCGGCGGGGCUGAGCCCGGCCGGGAUGGCGAAGUAGGAGGACGGCGACAUGGGCGGCGGCGAGAUGGGCAGGCUGGGCGGCUGGGCCGACUUGAACUUGGGCACGCCGCCCCUGGCGCCGCGGUGGAAAAGCCCCCUCGGCGACCGAUCCUGGCUUUCGGCGCCGAGCAUGUCUCCGGAGCCCGAGAGCAGCUCGGUGAAGGAGGUGAUGAAGGGCGG
rnacentral:lncRNA from 1 species